rnacentral:rRNA from 1 species
AGUGAACGCUGGCGGUAGGCCUAACACAUGCAAGUCGAACGGCAGCACAGUAAGAGCUUGCUCUUACGGGUGGCGAGUGGCGGACGGGUGAGGCAUACAUCGGAAUCUACUUUUUCGUGGGGGAUAACGUAGGGAAACUUACGCUAAUACCGCAUACGACCUACGGGUGAAAGCAGGGGAUCUUCGGACCUUGCGCGAUUGAAUGAGCCGAUGUCGGAUUAGCUAGUUGGCGGGGUAAAGGCCCACCAAGGCGACGAUCCGUAGCUGGUCUGAGAGGAUGAUCAGCCACACUGGAACUGAGACACGGUCCAGACUCCUACGGGAGGCAGCAGUGGGGAAUAUUGGACAAUGGGCGAAAGCCUGAUCCAGCCAUACCGCGUGAGUGAAGAAGGCCUUCGGGUUGUAAAGCCCUGUUGUUGGGAAAGAAAAGCAGCAGGUUAAUACCCCGCUGUUCUGACGGUACCCAAAGAAUAAGCACCGGCUAACUUCGUG